rnacentral:rRNA from 1 species
AGAGAGAGACAUGCGCUGCAUAUCAAUAAGCGGAGGAAAAGAAACUAACAAGGAUUCCCUUAGUAACGGCGAGUGAAGCGGGAAGAGCUCAAAUUUGAAAUCUUCAAGGUUUUACCUUGACGAAUUGUAGUUUAAAGAAGUGUUUUCUGCUGAAGUUUUGGUAAAAGUUCUUUGGAAUAGGACAUCAUAGAGGGUGAGAAUCCCGUAUUUGACCAUUAUUUUCAGCUUUGUGAUACACUUUCAAAGAGUCGGAUUGUUUGGGAAUGCAGUCCAAAAUGGGUGGUAAAUUUCAUCUAAAGCUAAAUAUUGGCGAGAGACCGAUAGCGAACAAGUACCGUGAGGGAAAGAUGAAAGAACUUUGAAAAGAGAGUUAAACAGUACGUGAAAUUGUCAAAAGGGAAGCGUUUGACACCAGUGUUGUUUUCUCGAAAAUCAAUUAAAAAUGGCUCGAUUUUGUAUUGCUGAGACCUUAAAAGCUCACUGUACAUUUUUCGUGUCUUUUUUAAUGCACUUUUCGUUUAACAAGUCAACAUCAGUUUCUUUUGUUGUAAAAGGGUCAUUGGAAGGUGGCUUUCUUUUCGGAGAAAGUGUUUAUAGCCUUUGGCCUCUGCAAUCGGAGAGACUGAGGUCUGCAGCGUAGACUCUUCGGGGUUAGAUACAUUUGUGCUAAGUUAUAGCUUUUUAUAGACAACUUGUUGACUAUAAUUAGUCUUGUAGCUUACUCGCUUACGCUAUUUUACCUACGCUUAGGAUGUUGAAGUCAUCGUAUCGCGC